AACUGAUACUACCUGCGGGAACCUGCGGAGGGAUCAUUAACACAAAAUGAUACAAACCUUUUUGGUUGGAAGAGGGGAUGAAAAAUCCUCUCGCUCCAACCAAAUUACCACAAUGGAAAAUGUUAAAGUCCAUUAACAUUUAUUUUAAUGUUUUUGGAUUUUAUUCAUCUUCAUUAAAAACCCUAUCUAAAACCAUUAGAAUCUGUUAUGAUUAUAUCUAAAAACAUAUAAUCUAAAAAA
rnacentral:misc_RNA from 1 species